rnacentral:rRNA from 1 species
UACGGAGGAUCCAAGCGUUAUCCGGAAUCAUUGGGUUUAAAGGGUCCGUAGGUGGAUGAUUAAGUCAGGGGUGAAAGUCUGCGGCUCAACCGUAGAAUUGCCCUUGAUACUGGUUAUCUUGAGUUAUUGUGAAGUGGUUAGAAUAUGUGGUGUAGCGGUGAAAUGCAUAGAUAUCACAUAGAAUACCGAUUGCGAAGGCA